rnacentral:rRNA from 1 species
CGCGUAGGCUGUUCGUUAAGUCUUGGGUGAAAUCUUUCGGCUCAACCGGAAGACUGCCCGGGAUACUGGCGAGCUCGAGGGUGGUAGGGGCGAUCGGAACUGCCAGUGGAGCGGUGAAAUGCGUUGAUAUUGGCAGGAACGCCGGUGGCGAAAGCGGAUCGCUGGAUCACUCCUGACGCUGAGGCGCGAAAGCUAGGGAGCAAACG